AUGUGAAUUACCUGGGGAUCUUGCUAAACUUCAGAUUCUGGUUCUGUAGGUCUGGAUCCUAAGGUUCUGCAUAUUUAAGAAGCUCCUGGGUAAUACUCCU
rnacentral:miRNA from 1 species